rnacentral:rRNA from 1 species
AUUGAACGCUGGCGGCAGGCCUAACACAUGCAAGUCGAACGAGUGGCGGACGGGUGAGUAAUGUCUGGGAAACUGCCUGAUGGAGGGGGAUAACUACUGGAAACGGGAGCUAAUACCGCAUACCAUCGGAUGUGCCCAGAUGGGAUUAGCUAGUAGGUGGGGUACAGGCUCACCUAGGCGACGAUCCCUAGCGGGUCUGCGGGGAUGACCAGCCCAGCAGGAACUGAGACACGGUCCAGACUCCUACGGGAGGCAGCAGUGGGGAAUAUUGCACAAUGGGGGCAAGCCUGAUGCAGCCAUGCCGCGUGUAUGAAGAAGGCCUUCGGUUUGUAAAGUACUUUCAGCGGGGAGGCGUUACCCGCAGAAGAAGCACCGGCUAACUCCGUGCCAGCAGCCGCGUAAUUC